GUAGGUGGCAAGCGUUGUCCGGAUUUACUGGGCGUAAAGAGCGCGCAGGCGGUCGUUCAAGUCGCGUGUGAAAGCCCCCGGCUCAACUGGGGAGGGUCACGCGAUACUGAUCGACUCGAAGGCAGGAGAGGGAAGUGGAAUUCCCGGUGUAGUGGUGAAAUGCGUAGAUAUCGGGAGGAACACCAGUGGCGAAGGCGACUUCCUGGCCUGUUCUUGACGCUGAGGCGCGAAAGCUAGGGGAGCAAACGGGAUUAGAUACCCAGGUAGUCCUAGCCGUAAACGAUGGACACUAGGUGUUGGUGGUAUCAACCCCGCCAGUGCCGAAGCUAACGCAUUAAGUGUCCCGCCUGGGGAGUACGGCCGCAAGGCUA
rnacentral:rRNA from 1 species